rnacentral:lncRNA from 1 species
UCUCCUCUCUUCUCUCUUCUCUCUUCGGCCGCAGGUCUCCGAUGGCGCCGUUGACUCAGUCUGUCCUCAGCCUCCUCUCCGCCGCUUUCCUCCUUGGCUUCCUCUCUGAUCCGGCCGCUGCUCGUCCCUGCAAAACCCUUUUCAUCUCCUCCUACUCCGUAUCCUUCCACCCCAAUUUCCCCGAUCAAAAUAACCCUAACUCCGCAGGCACCGCCGGAAUUCUCACGAUUUUCACUGAGAUCCGGCAAUUUAACCCCCGUCCGCCGCUCACCUUCGUCGACGCCGUCGAGGAUCAGCACCCGAUCGAGCGUCCGCCGCGAUUUGGCCUCGGUCUAGGGUUCGACUCCGACUCCCUCCGCGACCGCACCAAGGACGUGCUCAGCGUUGUUGUGGCGCUGCUCUUCGGCGUCGGCUGUGGCGCUCUCACCGCCGCAACCAUGUACUUGGGUUGGUCGCUCUUCUCCAACCGCCACCGCUACUCCGAC